AGAGUUUGAUCAUGGCUCAGGAUGAACGCUGGCGGCGUGCCUAAUACAUGCAAGUCGAACGAAGAGUGUAGCAAUAUGCUCUUAGUGGCGAACGGGUGAGUAACACGUGGGUGACCUACCCCAAAGUGUGGAAUAACUCCUCGAAAGAGGUGCUAAUACCGCAUGUGGUCCUAGAGAUUAGAGGCUUAGGGACUAAAGACUUCGGUCGCUUUGGGAGGGGCCCGCGGCCCAUCAGCUAGUUGGUGAGGUAAUGGCUCACCAAGGCAGUGACGGGUAGGGGACUUGAGAGGGUGACCCCCCACACUGGAACUGAAACACGGUCCAGACACCUACGGGUGGCAGCAGUAGGGAAUAUUGGUCAAUGGGCGAAAGCCUGAACCAGCAACGCCGCGUGCGCGAUGAAGGCCUUCGGGUCGUAAAGCGCUUUUGGGAGGGAUGAAAAUGACAGUACCUCCCGAAUAAGGAUCGGCUAACUACGUGCCAGCAGCCGCGGUAAUACGGAGGGAGCUAGCGUUGUUCGGAAUUACUGGGCGUAAAGAGUACGUAGGCGGUGAUUCAAGUCAGAGGUGAAAGCCUGGAGCUCAACUCCAGAACUGCCUUUGAAACUAGAUCGCUAGAAUUGUGGAGAGGUUAGUGGAA
rnacentral:rRNA from 1 species